ACGCCCUGAGGGGGGCCGGGGCCUCCUACCCCCCACUCCCGGGCGGCCCGGGCGCCCAUCCCGUCCAGGUCAGCGCCGUCUUCCCGGGGCCCCCGCCCGCGCUGCUGCCGGGGAGACGCCCGGGGGGCCCCAUCCACUCCCCAGCUCAUCCAUCUCCUAAUUCGAUUUUCUGUGUCAGGGCAGCGGCUGGAGGAGGCGAGGGGCGAGGGCAGCUGGGUGCCGCCCGCGCGGCUGGACGGGGUGCCCGGCUCUCGUCUUCUCCGGGGCCGGGGCCGGGGCGCCCCCUCCCCCCCCCCCCCCCCCAACCUGGGGGCAACGGGCUCGGCCUGGACCCUCCACCGGAACCGGGGCUCAAAAGGCUCCCCCCCCGGAACGGGCCCUGUUGACUUUACCGAAAAAGGUGCUCUGCACAUUUCACUGCUGAUUUAUUGGUUUUUAACUAGAUCCGUAUGCGGGGCUGAGGAGCCUCUUGCACUUGGCGAGGCUGCGCCGGGCGCUAAGGACCCAGGCCCUCCUGCCCGUCGGCCUCCCUGCCUCCCCCCCUCGCCCCCUGCCUCCCCCCGCAGCCUCCCCCCUCCCCCGCCCCCUGCUCCACCGAGGCCGCCCUGGCGAGGUGGGGCCCUGGCCCCUGAGCCCCCCGCCCCUGGCCACCUGCGGAGCGCGUGUUUGUGUGUGCCUCAAGGAGCACUUGUCAUACAUUUUAAUGGACUUUGGAGUCGGACAAACCUAGAUGGAUGGCCUGCCUGGUCUCUGUCCCCGCUGGCUGUGUGCUUUGGGGGAGCCAGGUAACCCCUCUGAUCCCUGAUCCGUCCCCUUGGGAGUGGGUGUGACUCUUACCUAGGAUGGGGCACCGCUGGAAAGCUUUGUCUUCACAAAGCACAGAGGGGGCUUCUUGAUUAGCUGCCCUCCCAAAUUCCUCUCCCGCCCCCGGCUGGUCACUCCUGGUGAAGGGGGGACUUCUUCACCCGCCCUGGUGAAGGGACAAUGACCUCAUACCCUCUCCUGGUGCUGCAUGCAGUGCUUCCUGGGUCACGAGGAGAGUUGUAUACAAAUACAAGCCAUCGAUUUAUAAAUUAUAAAGCGCUGUUAAUCCCUUAACUCAUCAAAUCCUCAUAAAAGUUCUAUGAGAGAAGAGACAGGAUAAAAGGAAGUAGCAAAGUCAUUUAACCCAGAGAGACAAAGGAAUUGGAUCAGGGACCCGCACUCCGAACCCAGGGCAGUUUCUCGCCUAGAGUGCUUUUCUUGAAGUCCCAGCUGCCUCUCCCCUCUUCAACAUUGCUCCUCUGCAGUGACAGAGGAUGUUACGUGCAGGCAUCCUAGGUACACAAAUGGGGUCCCCUUGGGCGUAGAAACAAAGGGAAGCUACUGAGGGGCAGGGGACCCACGUGGACACCUGCCUGUAGGAACGAGGCGGCUUUGGCCAGCCCUGGAAGAGCAACCCGAGAGCAGGGUGGGCACAGUGAAGACAGUUCUGAUUGAGACCCCCAGAACUCCAGGAGCCAAAGGACGACGCUGGCCGCAUCUGCAGAAUCCAUCAGGCGUCUUGAUGGGUCGCCGUUAAACAAAGAUGGGAUAAGGUUACAUGUGUUUUCCGUGGGAGUCGGCUCCAAUUUCAGCCUGAUGAUUUAGUCAGGUGUAAGCAUGAAGUUUCCAAUUUAGAGAAAUAAAUCUCCAGUGAUUUUAUUAUCCCCUGUUUUA
rnacentral:lncRNA from 12 species